UUAAUCUAGCAAGUUGACUUUCACGAGAGAGAGAUAGAGAGACCUUUUUCUCAAUUUUUAUCAAUGAAAAACAUUUGAUUAAAUAUAAAAACAAAAUUAAAAAACAAAUAUAAGGGUAUAAUAGUCUUUUUAUGUUGAUAAAGACCAAAACAAUAGAAAUAUUCAAUUUUGGACCAGUGCACCAAUAUUUCAUUUUGGAAAAAAAAACCACAUUAAUUUGGCAACCACAAGACCAUUUUUGCAAUUUUGUCUUUUUAUUAAUUGCAAAAAGUUCCUAAUGGUCUUAUGCGAAAUGACUUAAAUUCAAGUUACAUAUGAAAUUUGAUAAUACCGUAUGGUUAAAACCUGUCUCGUUAUCCGACCCAUUAUGUUAUCUGGAAAGUGGAAACACUAUUUUGCCGGUGAAACGCUUCGUUCUUAAAUCAAAGUUUCAAAAUUGGGUGAGCCCUUCUCUCUGUAACGGCAACUUAGAGCAUCUUCAAUCCAUUCCCAUUUUCAUUUUUUUCUUCAAUUUUUCCCCCAAUUCCUCUCCAAUCCUAUCCCAUUUAUUUCCCCCAUUUUGGGGGAAAUGAAUAAUAUGGUGUUAUACUAUUCAUUUCCCUCAAAAUGGGGAUGAACUUUGAGUUGUCAGUUUUAAUCCUUUUUUUUUUAUAUAUUUAUACAUUAUUAGUUUAUUUUAUCUACUAAUUAUAAUUAUAAUUUAAAUGAAUUAUUUAAUACUUAUAAUAUUGUAUUAUAUAUUAAAUUAUAUUAAUUAAUUAUAAAUAUAAAGUUUAUUUUUUGUUUAUCAAAUUUAUAUGAAAAUUUUAAUACAUAUUGAAAUUUUAAAAUACGAUAAUGUAUUUUACAAAAGUUUAUAAUUAGAUAUUAUAAAUAUAAUUUUAUUUAUUUAAUAGUAUUGUAACGAAAGAAAUAUAAAUUAUAUAUUUGUUAAAACCAAUAACGGACAAUAUAUAUGAUUGGAAAAAUAGAAUAUAAUAGGAAUAUAUUUGAAGGAGAGAACACCGUGUUAGCGUUCCAUUCCCCCAUAAUCCAUAACCAAAAUCUGAAGUUUCAAUCGAUUAUCUUCUCCCUAACAUAGUUUUCGUUAGAUUCAAUCGAAAUUUGGUGCAAGUUCAAGUCUACAGCUCUCCGUAUUCAACUGGUAUCGGAGGCAGUAAUCCAAUGAGUUCUCGGGAUCAAGACAAGCCGCCUGUUCCUCGCAGUCCUGUAAAUAAAAAUGGAGCAGUUGAUGAUGUUCCCUUUGAUAAGCCUAGGAAAAUUGGCACUGGUAGGAUGAUAGCAUCCACAACUGCAAGUAGAGGUAGAAAAAUCAGAAGGAUGUUCCUGUAGCACCUUCUGAAUGACAAGUUCAAAGGGAAAAAGUUUGAUACAAAGGUCUGUCGUUGUUAUGUUAUAUUAUGCUUACAGUAUCAUCAUCUCAACAUGUAUCUGAAUUAUGUGGUCAGACAUCCUUUUUGUAUUUACAGCUAAAAUAAGAGUGGAUGACAAAGCAUAUUAGAAAGCUCCAUGAUUGUAUAAAAUGGUUCCAUAGAAGUAUAUUGAUUUCAGAUGGUCUAUUAAGUAAA